rnacentral:rRNA from 1 species
GGAUUAGAUACCCUGGUAGUCCACGCCGUAAACAAUGGACACUUGGUGUUGGAGGUAUUGACCCCUUCAGUGCCGGAGCUAACGCGUUAAGUGUCCCGCCUGGGGAGUACGGUCGCAAGAUUAAAACUCAAAGAAAUUGACGGGGGCCCGCACAAGCGGUGGAGCAUGUGGUUUAAUUCGAUGCAACGCGAAAUACCUUACCUGGGUUUGAAUUGCAGUGGACCACGCCAGAGAUGGCGUUUCUCUUCGGAGUCGCUGUGAAGGUGCUGCAUGGCUGUCGUCAGCUCGUGUUG